UGGGAACACGCCACUAAUUGAAUGUAUUUGUUACAUCUGCGAUGAGGUGGCGACUUGUCCAGGGUGUACACCGCCUUCCGCCCGAUUGUAGCUGAGAUAGGCUCCAGCGCCCCCAGCAACCCCAAAGGGAAUAAGCGGAAUCUGCAGUGG